GUCUUUCCCAUGCUAUUCUCGAGAUAGUGAAUAAGUCUCAUGAGAUCUGAUGGGUUUAUCAGGGGUUUCCGUUUUUGCUUCUCUCCUCAUUUUCUCCGGGCGCUGCCAUGUAAGAAGUGCCUUUUGCCUCCCGCCAUGAUUCGGAGGCCUCCCCAGCCAUGUGGAACUGCUUGACUGGAUGACUGGAGACAGUGCGAGGUCGCCGAGUCCAUAAGCAGCAAGAAGGGCACACAGAGGGGGAAAGGAGAAGCUCACUGCCGGAGGAGGCAAACUUGACUUCACAAUGUUCUCUGGGGUGGGACCUGACUUUGACCCCAUGUAUAUAAAUGGGCUUGACUGAGUUAAUCCAUGCUUAUAAGUGUCCAGGUGCUUGUGUCUUAUGGUAAUGUUUUUUUUUUCAGUUGCCAUUGAAAGAUGUGAGAAACGAAACAUGAAAAUAUUUAAUAAUUCAGCAUUUCCAAGUGUCUAGACUACUGAACAUAUUAUCCAAGAAAUUAUUUAGAAGAAAGGGAAAGGAAAUAGGCGAGAGAUUUGAUGAGUACUGACUAUGAAUCAGUGGUUUUCAGAGUUUUAUUUCUCACAGAGUAGAUACUAUUUUCCCUGUUUCACAGAUGACAAAUGUGAGGGUCAGAUAGAUUAGGAAACGUGCCCAAAGUUUCACAGCUAGUCAAUGAGAGAAAGCAUUUUCCAAGCCAGGUUCACUUGGCUGCAAAGCACGCACUCUUUCUGAUACACAGCAUACUGCCUAGAUGUUUUAGCACAUUUGGAUUACAAAAAUGUUAGAAAUAAAAUUAUGUUUGUGAAAGGAUGGGCAUUUAAAAAGCUCUGGGUUGUGGUUGUCUGAAGUUGAAAUUAUAAAAUGAUAGUUCCCCCCAGCACGCACACACACACACACACACACACACACACACACACACACACACGCGUUGGUGAUUAUGGCUGAGUCACUGAAUUUAUUUGGAAGAACCAUCUUCUUUUGCAUGACAGAAUACAGAUGGCCAUAAACUAUUUACCCAGACAUUUUGGGGUUGAGGGAUGCAAUCAUCAUUUGAAACAAAAAUACAACUCUAGGAAAACAUAUGAAAGUGAAUUACAUUGUUAAUGUGAAAGGGAAAAGGGGGAAGAUGAAUAAAACAGCAAGAAUACAGCUGAAAAGAGACUAAAAGGAACAAGGGGAAACUGUCUUUGAGCACAAGGCAUAUGUGUAUGCUACACAGAGAGUUGGUUUAGAAAUGUUUAUAAACAAUGGAUGUUUGUGGAAUGGAAAAUUGAAUAGCUGUGAUAUUAAGGCUUUUCACUCCUGGGAAAAAUAUGGACACCGUGGCUUAUAAGUUAUUUGAUUCUGACAAGCAUCUUCCUACCUCCUCUAACAUUUGGUUAUAUUAACUAUAUUAGAGGCUUUUCCUUUUAUUAGUCUGUGUUUCUACCAUCUGAAAACAAUGAGCUUAAACAGCUAUCAUGCUGUCAUUUUACCCUGUGAAUAGGCUCUUUAAUAAAGAAACCUAAUGAAAUGAUUGUUUUAAAAAAGAAAAAAAUUUC